rnacentral:rRNA from 1 species
GACGAACGCUGGCGGCGUGCUUAACACAUGCAAGUCGAACGAAGUGGCGAACGGGUGAGUAACGCGUAAUCAACCUGCCCUUCAGAGGGGGACAACAGUUGGAAACGACUGCUAAUACCGCAUACUGAAGGAGGGGUAGGCGUCUGAUUGGCUAGUUGGGGGGGUAACGGCCAACCAAGGCGAUGGUCAGUAGCCGGUCUGAGAGGGUGAACGGGUACAUUGGGACUGAGACACGGCCCAGACACCUACGGGAGGCAGCAGGGGGGAAUCUUCGGCAAUGGACGAAAGUCUGACGGAGCAACGCCGCGUGAGUGAUGACGGCCUUCGGGUUGUAAAGCUCUGUUAAUCGGGACGCGGUACCGGAAUAGAAAGCCACGGCUAACUACGUGCCAGCAGCCGCGGUAAUAC